rnacentral:rRNA from 1 species
GUGCCAGCAGCCGCGGUAAUACCGGCAGCUCGAGUGAUGACCGCUGUUAUUGGGCCUAAAGCGUCCGUAGCUGGCCGACCAAGUCUCCCGGGAAAUCCACCCGCCCAACGGGUGGGCGUCCGGUAGAAACUGGCCGGCUUGGAACCGGAAGGCUCAGAGAGUACGUCCGGGGUAGGAGUGAAAUCCCGUAAUCCCGGACGGACUACCGAUGGCGAAAGCACUCUGAGAAAACGGAUCCGACAGUGAGGGACGAAAGCCAGGGUCUCCAACCGGAUUAGAAACCCCUGUAGUCC